rnacentral:rRNA from 1 species
AACGAACGCUGGCGGCAGGCCUAACACAUGCAAGUCGAACGCCCUGGCAACAGGGAGUGGCAGACGGGUGAGUAACGCGUGGGAACGUGCCCUUCGGUUCGGAAUAACUCAGGGAAACUUGAGCUAAUACCGGAUACGUGCGAGAGCAGAAAGAUUUAUCGCCGAAGGAUCGGCCCGCGUCCGAUUAGCUAGUUGGUGAGGUAACGGCUCACCAAGGCGACGAUCGGUAGCUGGUCUGAGAGGAUGAUCAGCCACACUGGGACUGAGACACGGCCCAGAUUCCUACGGGAGGCAGCAGUGGGGAAUAUUGGACAAUGGGCGCAAGCCUGAUCCGGCCAUGCCGCGUGAGUGAUGAAGGCCCUAGGGUUGUAAAGCUCUUUCGCCAGGGACGAUAAUGACGGUACCUGGAUAAGAAGCCCCGGCUAACUUCGUGCCAGCCGCCGCGGUAA